CGCCUUCGUCCUUAACCAUCAGCCGGACUCCCAUCCGUGCACGAAGCUGCAGCGAGCCCGAUCCAAAUCCCGCGAGAUUCGCCCGAUCCCGAAUCCCUCGCUCCAACCCGCGGGCACCAAGAGACUCCUCUCAACCCCCUUGACCGAUUCCCACAAUCACCGCUUGAGGCCCGCCCCGAUUUCGUGCUCGCUGGCCUCGAGAAGAUCCGCCGAAGAGCCAAAACUCCGGCGAGUGAAUCGGCCAUCUCCGCGCCGAACCGAGCUCCUAGAAGAAGCCCCGAAGGCCACAGGCACCAAUCGCUGCCCCUGUUCAUCCGCUCCCGCCGUCGAUGCAGGACGCACCGGGGAACUCCGACGACUCCCCUGAUUCUGUCGUGCCACGCCCAACCUCCCCGUGCACUUCCCUAAGUCAAAGAACCACCGGAGACGCCUUCUCGUCGACGCCUGAGACCACCGCCGUUCAAAUCCGGCGAACCUCCGGUGAGGAAAUUUCCCCUCUGCCCAAAUCCUAUGACGUGGCAUCAUCUCAGCCACCCGUGCUCACUUAAAUCCGAUGGUCUAUGUUAUUUCCUCAACUAAUCGGUAACGACGAAUGUCCUACUGCCACGUGUCCACAAAUUUUGUUUUAAUCUUUUUCGGCUGAGGCUAGUUGUAAUGGGAGUAUCAUAGGUAGUAUCAUGCAUGCCAACUAGGCAAAUUUGAUGAGGUGACAUAGAAUUAAAUGAAGAAAGAGAGGUUUGAGUAUCAUAUCAUGAUACCGUAUCAUAUUAAAUGUUGUGCUACUAUGUAUCAUGCAUCAUAAUAAAUGAAGUCAUCUAUGAUACUUACAUAUGAUACUAUGCACUAGAAUGUACUAUUAUAUAUUAGUAUCGUAUGCAUGACACUAGUAUAUGAUACUUUCCAUUACGACCAGCCUGAAACUGUUUCUGUACUUUUCGAUAGGUCCCUGGAAUUCAAUUCAUCAUAACUUUUCAACUGUAGCUCCGUUUUUGACAAAUCCAAUUCCGUUGGUUUCAUACCGGAGCCCUAUUUUCACUUCACUCAUAAGUUUUAACUUUUGAACAUUUCAAAUUUGAUCAAUUCGGAUUUGAACUCAUACCUUCAUUUGAUCAUAUCAGGAGAACCGUAUAUCCUAUUCAAUUGAUUCUUUUUGCGUCUGAAAACCUGUAUCAAAUACUUGUUGAUCAUGUAAUGUAUACUCCAAAGGC
rnacentral:rRNA from 1 species